GAAGAGAGAGUUCAAGAGUACGUGAAACUGUUCAGAGGUAAACAGGUGGGCCCUCGAAGUCCUGUGGCGGGAUCAUUCAGUUGGAGCGUCUGCGGCGCUCGCCGGAAAAGACUAAGGUUCCCGGACGGGGCCGUUCUGGCGUGUGAUCCGUGGCGAUCCGACGCAUUUGUUUCCUGCCCGAAGGACGCCGCAACCGGUUGGGAGACGGCCUUAAGGGCGAGAGCCGGCAGGUGGCCGGCGGCGUACGCUUGUGAACGCCGCCGGUUGUUAGCCAUUUCGUCUCACGGCACGUUUUCCGACCGGGGCAAUAGAGAGGCCUUGUUGGGCUUCACCGUCUCCUCCCUUAAUGUGCUGCGGGAUGAGAGGCGCGGCAGGAGCUCGAGCUGGCGUGGGCGCACGGACUGACUCCGUGGCCGUUCGCCGCCUUGCUCUGUUGGUUGCGCAAGCCCCGUGGGAGUGAUUGAUGGUUGGCGGCGAGUAGAUCGGUCACCCACCUGACCCGUCUUGAAACACGGACCAAGGAGUAUAACAUGUGUGCGAGUCAAUGGGUCUUGAAUAAGCCCAGAGGCGCAAUGAAAGCGAAGGCCGGAGGACUCCGGCCGUGUCGGGACCCCGUUCCUCUGCGUUCGGGGCGCACCGACGACCCGCCCCAAUCCGCUCGCGGAUGAGGCGGAGUCUGAGCACACACGUUGUUGCCCGAAAGAUGGUGAUCUAUGCCCGGACAGGACGAGGCCAGAGGAAACUCUGGUGGAGGU
rnacentral:rRNA from 1 species